GAAAAUUCCUUCGGGGAUUAGUAAAGUGGCAAACGGGUGAGUAAUACAUGGGUAACCUGCCCUUAAGACCGGGAUAACACCUUGAAAAGGGUGCUAAUACUGGAUAAGACCACAGGGUUGCGGCCUGGUGGUAAAAGAUAGCCUCUAUUUAUAAGCUUUCACUUAAAGAUGGGCUCAUGCGUCAUUAGCUUGUUGGUAGGGUAACGGCCUACCAAGGCAGCGAUGGCUAGCCGGCCUGAGAGGGUGAUCGGCCACACUGGGAUUGAGAUACGGCCCAGACUCCUACGGGAGGCAGCAGUGGGGAAUUUUGCGCAAUGGGGGAAACCCUGACGCAGCAACGCCGCGUGAAGGAUGAAGCUUUUUGGAGUGUAAACUUCUGUCAAAUGGGAAGAAGUGUUAGUGGGUUAAUAGCCUGUUAACUUGACGGUACCAUUGGAGGAAGCCCCGGCUAACUCCGUGCCAGCAGCCGCGGUAAUACGGGGGGGGCAAGCGUUGUUCGGAAUUACUGGGCGUAAAGAGCGCGUAGGCGGCUAGAUAAGUCAGACGUGCAAUCCUGUGGCUUAACCACAGAACUGCGUUUGAAACUGUUUAGCUUGAGUACAGGAGAGGGAAGUGGAAUUCCAAGUGUAGCGGUGAAAUGCGUAGAUAUUUGGAGGAACACCAAUGGCGAGGGCGGCUUCCUGG
rnacentral:rRNA from 1 species